rnacentral:rRNA from 1 species
AGAGUUUGAUCCUGGCUCAGGAUAAACGCUGGCGGCGUGCGUUAUGCAUGCAAGUCGAACGGACUAUUUUCGGAUAGUUAGUGGCAAACGGGUGAGUAACGCGUAAGCAACCUGCCCCUAAGUUGAGAACAACCUCGGGAAACCGAGGCUAAUACUGAAUGUGGUGACCAGGCGAGUGUUUGGUCACUAAAGCCGCAAGGCGCUUGGGGAGGGGCUUGCGUCUGAUUAGCUUGUUGGUGGGGUAACGGCCUACCAAGGCGAUGAUCAGUAGCUGGUUUGAGAGGAUGAUCAGCCACACUGGGACUGAGAUACGGCCCAGACUCCUACGGGAGGCAGCAGCAAGGAAUAUUGGGCAAUGGGCGAAAGCCUGACCCAGCGACGCCGUGUGGGGGAAGAAGGCUCUCGGGUUGUAAACCCCUUUUCUCUGGGAAGAAUAAUGACGGUACCUGAGGAAUAAGUCUCGGCUAACUACGUGCCAGCAGUCGCGGUAAUACGUAGGAGGCGAGCGUUAUCCGGAUUUACUGGGCGUAAAGAGGGUGUAGGCGGCCUUUCAAGUCGGGUGUGAAAUCUCCCAGCUUAACUGGGAGGGGUCAUUCGAUACUGUUGGGCUAGAGGACAGCAGAGGGAGGCGGAACUCCCGGUGUAGUGGUGGAAUGCGUAGAUAUCGGGAGGAACACCAGUGGCGAAGGCGGCCUCCUGGGCUGUCCCUGACGCUGAGAUCCGACGGCGUGGGGAGCAAACAGGAUUAGAUACCCUGGUAGUCCACGCAGUAAACGAUGGAUACUAGGUAUGGGGAGUAUCGACCCUCUCCGUGCCGAAGCUAACGUUUUAAGUAUCCCGCCUGGGGACUACGGCCGCAAGGCUAAAACUCAAAGGAAUUGACGGGGGCCCGCACAAGCAGCGGAGCGUGUGGUUUAAUUCGAUGCAACGCGAAGAACCUUACCAAGACUUGACAUGCUGGAAGUAGGAACCCGAAAGGGCGACGAACUGUUGAGUCAGUAGUCAGCACAGGUGCUGCAUGGCUGUCGUCAGCUCGUGCCGUGAGGUGUUGGGUUAAGUCCCGCAACGAGCGCAACCCUCGUUGCCAGUUAAAUUCUCUGGCGAGACCGCCCCGCAAAACGGGGAGGAAGGUGGGGAUGACGUCAAGUCAGCACGGCCCUUAUGUCUUGGGCUACACACACGCUACAAUGGGUGGUACAGUGGGCAGCAACAGAGCGAUCUGGAGCCAAUCCCCAAAACCAUCCUCAGUUCGGAUUGCAGGCUGAAACCCGCCUGCAUGAAGUCGGAGUUGCUAGUAAACGCGUAUCAGCACGGCGCGUUGAAUACGUUCUCGGGCCUUGUACACACCGCCCGUCACGUCAUGAAAGUCGGCAACACCUGAAGUCGAUGGGCUAACCUUGAGUUUACUCGAGGAGGCAGUCGCCGAGGGUGGGGUUGAUGAUUGGGACGAAGUCGUAACAAGGUA